rnacentral:lncRNA from 1 species
GUCGCACGUGAUAUUCGCAGGGUGUGGAGCGAAUUCGUGGUAUAUGACUAUUUAUUGUAAUUGAAAAAUGGGCGAUCUAUUUCCGAUUUGUCACUCCUAAGAAAGCAAUUAUACUACGUAUUUGUAAAGUAUACAUAAUUUUCUUAAUGAUAAAAUGGAGACUUCAUUGAUAUAAUUCAACGUAUCCGUUAUGGUCAAGGAUUCAUGGCUCGGAU